UACGGGGGGAGCAAGCGUUGUUCGGAUUUACUGGGCGUAAAGGGCGCGUAGGCGGCCACCGCAAGUCAGUUGUGAAAUCUCUGGGCUUAACCCAGAAAGGUCAACUGAUACUGCGGGGCUAGAGUGCAGAAGGGGCAACUGGAAUUCUCGGUGUAGCGGUGAAAUGCGUAGAUAUCGAGAGGAACACCUGCGGCGAAGGCGGGUUGCUGGGCUGACACUGACGCUGAGGCGCGAAAGCGUGGGGAGCAAACAGG
rnacentral:rRNA from 1 species